ACUAGGCUCACCCGGCACAUGGAGAGGCCUGUUUCAUCCGAUGAGGAGUCCUGGGUUGCAGGUGUCACACCUUGGAUUCACCAUAGCCAGCAGAAACCAGUGGCAACAGAGACUCCCGAUGAUAACCAGUGGAUUAACCAACAAGACCCAGAUCGCCCCACCUGAAUAGUCCUACGGCGAAACCCAACCACCGGUAAGAAGGACAACUGGCCUGCUCUGACCACACCGGAGGAUGGUCAGUCUAUGCACGGCUGAAGCUUGAGGAUCCUGCAAGCUCUGCUCUAGUCACAUCCUGGAAGCUGACUAGUCUACGCACAGUCGAAGCUAAGAGGACCAUAUCCGGAUAAGUAAAUGUGGAUACAAUUUAUAAGCCUACUUACAAUUCUGUCAACACUGAUUGCUCUGCUGUUAUGUUAUCAUUGCAAAUGCUGCAAAUGUCUAUGCCCAGAGGAAGGUUUGCCAUGCCCAUGUAUAGUAUAGGCAUGUUUCUAUUACAUACACUGUUGUCGUUACCAUUUCUGCCUAUACUAGAAGGGGAGAAAUCUCUAGAAGGAUGUCCACACUGUGUACAUACUAUCUGGGUAAGGAAUAGCGUAGUUAAAACUCUACUGUACCAUACCUACUAUAAAUGUACAGGAACCAAGUUAGAAACCUACACAUACAACCAGAAACAGUCUGCAAUGGUUUAACACAAGAGAGGCUUAGCAAGAGCAGCCCUAAACACCUGUACGGAGAGCUACAAAUCGGAUGCCCAGACUGUAACAUUCGGUGGUCUACACUAACACAUCUCCAACACUUAUAUUCAGGAAGGAUUGCUCUGCUAAGUAGUAUGUCAACCAAACCAAAUUGUAAGGCAAGAACAUGCAAUCCUUUAAAUUUUACUAUCUUAAAGCCAGAGCUACCUUUUUGGUCUACAGGACAGACAGCACUAUUAUGAGUUGAUAGACAAGGAGUAGGCCUUGGAGUUCCACUACUAAUUGUCAAAAAGACUAGAAGGAUUCAAAUGUGUCCAACCCCACAAUUCCGGGUCCAUAAGUCAUUCUAUAAACAUUUUGAUCAGUCAGUGCCUGAGCUUUCCCAUCAACCAAAAAUUUACUUGCUCAACUAGCUAAAAACAUAUCUGGCAGCUUGGAAAUUUCCUUAUGCUAUGUAUGCGGAGAAACUAAUAUAGGGGACCAGUGGCCAUGAGAGGCAAAAAAAGUAAUGCCACAAGAUAACUUUACUUCGCCUAACCCUGCCAGUGAACCAACAGCCUCAACCAGUGUUUGGUUGUUUAAAACCUCCGUAAUUGAAAAGUACUGUAUCGCCUGAGUAAAAAAAAAAAAAAAAGCUUUCACAGAGGCAGUAGGAGAAACAACCUGCCUAGGGCAACAGUAUUAUGAUGAGACUAAAAACAAAACUCUAUGCAGAAACGCCCAGAACGACUCCUAUUUACCAGAUCCAAACCCUUUCUCUCGGUUCUCUACUCUAAGCCACUCUUGGCAUCAGCUAGAGGCUCCAGAUGCUUAGAAAGCACCCUUUGGCCUAUAUUGGAACUGUGGAGCACGGGUGUGUCGGCACAGGCAUAUCAGCUAAAUAGACAGAGGCGUGUGUGUUAGGAACAAUCAAGCCAUCCUUCUUUCUAAUUCCUCUAAAGCAAGGGGAACUCUUAGGAUAUCCAGUUUAUAAUGAAAAUUUAAAAAAAAACUAAAAAAAGCAUAAUCGCAAAAAUGACACAAAUGUCAAAAAAAUGUAGACAUAAAAGACUGGAAAGAUAAUAACGGCCGAGCUGUCAUAGAAAUCACAGCUAAAAUGCGCAAGUUAGCCCAUGUUCCAGUUCAGACUUGCUCCAGAUAAUCCCCGGAUUCCUUGUUUAGAGGAUGGUUCUCAACCUUUAAAAGAUUCAAAACCCUCAUUGGUGGGUUUUUGUUUAUUCUUGGAAUCUGCCUCAUCCUCCCUUGACUUUUACCCCUGUAAGUAGGAGUAUUUGUCAACUAUAGAGGCAGUGGUAACCCGACACACUGCCACGCAGUUGAUGGCAUUAACCAAAUAUCAGCCGCUGCCAGUAGAAGAAAGAGCUCAGCUCUGUGAAGAGGUGGCAAAUAGUGGUGCUUUCUAUUAACACCUUUGUUAUGAAAAGCACCAAAGGGGGGAAAUGGAACAGAAAUUAAAAGAAAUUAAAGAAUGUGUGAGCAAAAACUCAGUUAUAUGUUUAAAAAAAAAAAAACACCAAUUCCCCCUGAAGAAGAGAAAGAGCUGGAGUCCUUUAAAAUCAACUGCCUGUUUUUCUGUGGCUAGUGAGCCUUCUCUCUCCCUUUCCCAGGCAUUGUGAAGACUGUUUCUCUAGCUGUGCAGCUGUAAGGUCACUAGACAGAUAAUCUCAAGUCAUAAAACAUGUUGUUCCUUAAAAAGUAAAAAGUAAUAUAAUGCAUGUCUCAGUUAAAUAACUGUCUUUGCUUCUUGUUUCUAUAAUAGGCUUCCCCCUGCACAGAUCUCCCCUCGCCCCACAAAAUGCUUAAAAGGUUAAAGAAAGAGGGACCAAUUAACUUCACCUUUUCCUAAACUUGAAAAGACAAACCAAAUUCUGCCCUUCAUCUCCAAUGUUUGAAAGAUCAGAGGUUCCUGUCAAGAACAUGGGUCCGUGUGUGGUUCACUCUGAAGCAUCUGUCUUCCUGUGAAAGAGCUUGCGGCUGGUGAGUGGAUACUGAGCCCAACUUCUGCAGGCUGCCCUCCCCUCUGGAUACCAAGCCCACCCAUGGCAAUCCCUUCAAGGCGUGACUCUCAUGAUAAUUAAAUGUGUGAUAAUGUGAAAAGGAAUUUUCAGAGAAACCAAGUCAAGGACUGGUG
rnacentral:lncRNA from 1 species